UUGACCCUCCACUUGUGUUUGUUGAAAUUGUACUUGAACUGGAGCAACGAACCAAGUUUACUUCUUGUGUCGGAUACCAAACUCUGCAGCUCUGGAAUUUCAAAGAAAGAAAUAAAGAUCAUGGCGAAGAUUGGAGUACUACCAAUAGUGGGGAUGGUCUUAGCCGAGUGUGCUCAAGCUGGGUUAAUGAUAGUAAGCAAAGCAGCCAUGUCUACUGGCAUGAACAACCUCAUCUUUGUCUGCUACUCCAACGCUCUUGCCGCCUUUGUUCUUCUCCCAACUUCUCUGUUCUUUCACAGAUCAACAGACCGUCCUCCGAUCACUUUCUCUAUUCUCUGUUGGUUUUUCUUGCUUGGUUUACUUGGGUGUAUAGCUCAGUUGGUUGGGUAUGCUGGGAUUAAUUACAGCUCUCCUACUCUUGGCACGGCUAUGCUCAACCUUGUUCCAGCUUUCACUUUCGUACUUGCAAUUAUAUUCAGAAUGGAAAAAAUUGAUGGGAGAAGCUGCAGUACCCUAGCCAAAAUCUUGGGAACAGUAGUUUCAAUAUCAGGGGCUUUCAUUGUGACUCUUUACAAGGGACCCCCACUUUUUAUGACAGCCUCAGUUGAUAUGUUGUCUUACAGUCAACUUUUCUUGCCACAGUCGAAUUGGGUCAUUGGAGGAAUGCUCCUUGGGUUUCAUUGUGUGGUGGCUGCAGCAUGGCUUAUCAUACAGGCAUCAGUACUAAAAAAAUACCCAGCAGGGCUCAUUAUAGUCUUUUACUAUUGCUUCUUUGUGGCUAUUCAAUCUGUAGUGGCGUUGUGGUUUGCGGAAAGAGACUUAAGUGCUUGGGCCUUAAACCCUAAGUUAAGGUUGUUCGCUGUUCUAUACUCGGGAGUUUUUGGCUCAGCGUUCCAGGUUGGUGUAUGUACAUGGUGUCUUGGUAGGACUGGGCCAGUUUUCGUAUCUAUGUUCAAGCCUUUGGGGAUUGUAGUUGCAGUUGCCAUAGGUGUUAUUUUCUUGGGGGAUACUUUCUACCUUGGAAGUUUGAUAGGAGCAAUUGUAAUUGUCACUGGAUUUUACUCUGUCAUAUGGGGCAAAGCCAAUGAGGUGAAGAUGGAUGAUGAUGCAAGGGCGAGGAGUUUAUCAUCAAAGAAACAGCGGGUUCCAUUACUGCAAAACAUUAUUGAAGACAUUUAAAAAAUUUCACAGCAUAUAAACCAUAAGGUUUCUCCUGCCAAACAAAUGGGUACUCUCUCUCCUCCUCUCUCCUCUGUUGCUUUUAGUCUUGGUUUCAAUUUAAAUGCUACCCUUUCCACCAUUGUGAAAGAUUUGUACAGGUUAUUCUUAAAGUUCAUAGUUCAGGCCAUUGAUGAGAAUAAUAAAUGGAUUCUCAUCAAUGGCAGUGAUGCAGGGAAAUUGGGCCUAACAGUUUUUUAUGGGUUAACUCAGCAUACGAGUCAUGUAUAGGGGUACAUGGAUAUUUAUGAACAUGGGGAGCAUAAUCAAGAUCAAAGAUAUCAGCAUGAGUUUCCGGGGUCAAACAUCGAAGCUGUCAUGAGAGCAACAGUUAUGUGAAAAGCUACUCUGGUUUGGAAGUGAAACCUACUCUUGCUCUUCGGGUUCAGAAUCCAGAUGCAUGAUCUCCUUCUUCAUUAGUUUUAUUCAUAAGGAAAUUAGUACUUCAGUACACUGAUAAGGCUUCAAAGUUGAAAAAGAUGAGGGACAUGUUCUUGAAGAACAUAUUAUUCCUGUGAAUUGUAAAAUAUAUGUUGACUUCUGCAGUUGAAUCAAUUGUAAUAUGUCAUUGUUUUGCUUUUGAGAUUGAGAUUGUCAUUAAAUCAAAUAUCAGAGGAGGUCAAUCUGUGCAAUGGACCUGCAGACUUAUAUUCUGGAAUUCUCAGAAAUACAUCAAAAUUCAGCUUAAAAUUA